UUUUUUUUUUUUUUUCUCUUUCUGUCACCAUACCUGCAAUUUUCAGUGACUUCUGUGAACACUGACACUUGGUGUUACCUCAUGUCUCUUGUAUCCCUGAUGAUGCAUAUCUGCAUUCUUAGUACACUGUAAACUAGGAAAAAUGCCCAGGUGUUUUGUUUUAUCCCUUUCCAAAUUUGCAAAUACAGAUGUACUCCUAUUGCAAUAGUACUUCAUAAUGUAAAUAUUUUCUAUGCAUAUAUUGCAUAUAGUACCUUUUGUUUAAAGAAAAAAAAAAACUGCUGUUGUUUUUUUACACAGUUAAUCCUUCCUGAAUUAGAUUUGAACAUGUGAAAAAAAAAAAAAAAAAAGAAUUAAUAAAUCUUUUUUUCGCUAAGGGUUAUUUUCUGGCAUUAAAAUAAGGAGACACCUUCUCCCAGCAGAAUUGGGGAACAGAUAGUUCUAAACCCUCAGCAAUCAUAUUUCUUUGUUGAAGUAUUUAUUUUAAAAUUCAAUAUAGUUAGCAAAUUAAGUCUGUAAUCAGGACUGGACAACACCCUGGAACAGAAGUAAAAGUGAACAAAUUGACUGAGGUUGGGAUUGUCUUUCUGAUUGCAUAAUAGUGAAUGUGUGUCAGCAGGAGGGACAGAGAGAAGAGCAGGGAGAUCAGAAGCUCUUGGGAAGGUGUUACUGUGUGAGUGUGCUGGCAGUUUCAGGGACUGCAUUGCUUUGAGCGUGUGGCCAAGUGGGGCUAAUUCCAGUGGUUAAAGCACAGCUGCGUAAACCAGCUGAGACUCAGAGAUAAAAUUAGGUUUCAGAUACAUUUUUAAAGAGGUGUUACCAAUACCUAAUUUUGCUGGCAGAUAGAGAUUUCUUGGACUGGAGAGCAGACAGUAAGGCUAGAGGGCCAGGGCUGAAGUGCUCUUAUUCAGGGUGUCAAGAACCAUGUGCCAGGAUCAGACCUGGGGCACUUAGGGUCUCAUGGUCAUCACUUUGUAAGCUCUAGGACAGAGAAGUAAUUUAGACUUUGUGUUCUUAGACUGGCUGGUGGCAAUCGGUUUCAAAGGGGACUUGCACCAAGUGCAAGUGAUGAUUUAUAAGAAAUUUGAAAGAUUUGAUGCAGUCUUCUCAAGCCUUAUAAAAACCCUGAAAAUUCUUACCAAAAUCAUAAUUUCAAUGGAAAUUGAAAACCAUAACAUCAAGUUUUAUUCUAUGUACAUUUAUGAAUCCUCAUACUUAAAACAUCAACCUCUUCUUUAAUCUGAAAUAUAAAAUAUCCAAUCUCAAAAGAUUUGAAAUAUCAACUCUUGGAAGUUUUAACACAGGAAUUGCAAAAAUGUAUGUACCAGAUUAUUUUCUAUACUUUUUGAUAUAUAAUAUUUUCAUUUUUUCUAAAAAUACAGUUAUUUCUUAAAAAUUAUUUAUUGAGACUGUCUCGUGCUUAGAAAGCCUGCGGCAUCAGCUUUGAGGGUUCUUAACUUUUUAACUAAUACUAAUGAUAUAAGUUGUAACAAAAGCAAGUCAUGGCACAGUACAGCAGGGAUUUAGAAAUUCUAUGCACUGUUCAUGAAGUGCUUUUUGUCUCUCAGAUUCUGUGACUAUCAAUUCUGCAGAAGCAAUCUAAAGUCUUCUUAAAUUGUUACUCCAGGACUUUCUGAGGUGGAACUCAGAGGCGCAUGAAGCAGCUUAGGACUUCAGUGUUGUGAAAGUUUAAAGAUGGACCUAACUGGCUGCACUAAUGCACUAAAGGCAAGGACAGAAGCAUCUUACAUUUAGAGGCUUGCUUCGAUGAUUGCAUCUUCAUUAGGAAGAAGUUUUGGGCAGAAAUUGAAUGUUGUGUAAAAUUUUUUCCUCCACCAGCACCAUGGGAAAACCUCAUUACCAUGCCCCACGUAGUGUAGAGAUAUUUGAGAUAAAUAAGCAGGUUUCAGACUUCAGUAGUCUUACAGUGUUAUCUACAUUUAUUUUAUAAGGGGAAGUCUUUCUCCAGUUUAAGAAUCAGUUUUGUCACCAUUUUAGAUUAAACUGGGUGCAGGCUGCUGCUCUAUACGUGAAGAUUUUUUUGUUUCCCUGUAGGUGUUUGUUGACUCACAUUGAAGUUUAUGUUUCAGAAAGAUUGUUGCCUGGAGUGCUUUCACCUCAAUUUGGAGGCUAAUUUUCACCUUAAUCUGUAUCUUGAUCUCAUUGAAUGUGAGCAUCCAAAUGCCUGUAGGAAUGUGCAGCUGAGAGAGGAUGGGGCUCCUUCCUUUCAGCAGCUGCCUGAGUUCAGGAGUGUGUCAGGUUCCAUAGAGAUGUCCCCUGACAACAUGUAGAAUUGUCCUCUGGGA
ensembl:lncRNA